rnacentral:rRNA from 1 species
GCUAAACGCGAAGAACCUUACCUGGCCUUGACAUGUCUGGAAUCCCGAAGAGAUUUGGGAGUGCCGCAAGGAACCAUGAGACAGGUGCUGCAUGGCUGUCGUCAGCUCGUGUCGUGAGAUGUUGGGUUAAGUCCCGCAACGAGCGCAACCCUUGUCCUUAGUUGCCAUCAUUAAGUUGGGAACUCUAAGGAGACCGCCGGUGACAAACCGGAGGAAGGUGGGGAUGACGUCAAGUCAUCAUGGCCUUUAUGGCCAGGGCUACACACGUGCUACAAUGGCAGGUACAGAGGGAAGCCAACCAGCAAUGGGGAGCCAAUCCCAGAAAGCCUGUCUUAGUCCGGAUUGCAGUCUGCAACUCGACUGCAUGAAGUUGGAAUCGCUAGUAAUCGCAGAUCAGCAUUGCUGCGGUGAAUACGUUCCCGGGUCUUGUACACACCG